CAUUAACAGCAGAGCUAUGGCUAUUUUGAUAAUAUAUUAAUUGUUUGUCAUUCUUUGAGCAAAAAUGACAAACGUUGUAGCUUUUCUGUAUCUCUGAUGUGAAAGUAAACUUAUAAUUAUAUCAGAGUUUUAGAUUGGGAAAAUUGUGAUUAUGAAUAAUUUUAAAUUUGAAUUAUUUUUAUACAUUUUAAAGGCAAAACAAUCCUGAAUUACUCAAUUAAUUGAGAAAAUAAUCGGUUAGUUGCAGUCUUAAAGUGCAGUCACAACUUUCUUUGCACAAUAGGUGGUGGUGAGAUUGUGUUUCCCGAUAUGAAGGGCUAUGUAUGCCCACCUGGAAAAGGAAAACUAUCUUUUGUGUGUGUGUGUCUGCAUCCUCAUCUGUGUGUGUGAAUGGUACAUUUGUCUGCAUGUAUUUGUGGACGUGUCAUUUCAGGACGAGGUGUUUGCUGCAGGCGAAGCAGCAGCCUGAGUAAGGUGUGCUGAGGUAAGACUCUGUACCAGUUGAAAAGCUUUCUGAGCACUCACACAUACACACACCCUCAUUGAGGGUCACAAGUAUAGAAAGACGAUGUUAAGAAUUUUGGGAUUAUGUUGUGUUUGAUUUGUGGGCGAAAAAAUAACUAAUUUGCCCUCUUUCGAGGGUUAGAAAUUCAUCUUUUCUCUAUGUUGCUGUUUUUUCAGUGGUUUAUCCAUGUGUAAAUAAACUGGUAGUUUGACCAUAUUCUUAAAUAUAGUAUGUAGUUUUAGUCAUUUUAAGUUUUAUCAGCCUAAAGUUCAGCUGUGUACCUACACCAGGUCCACUCACUGGGCUAGUUGGUGAACUAUGGCUGGCAAGCUAACUGCAAACAUGCUAGUUGUGAACAUGCUGGUACUAGUCUGCCACAAUAGCUCUCCAAGCUUCUUUUUAUUUUCUCUGUAGGCUACUGGACUGUUUACUCCCACUUGGUAUUUUAAUUAUACAUUUAAUUAAUUACAGAGUUUAAUUAGUGAGGGGGGAAAAAACUCCAAGCUAAUGAGCUAACAAGCUAACUGCUUGCCAACUCUCAGUUAGUAAGCAUGUUAGCUCAGUUGCUAAUAAUACAAAGUUUAAACAUAUUUGUAAUAUCAGCUUCUGUCUCUGUAACCUAUUACUCUUUUGUAGAGCCCUUUAUACACAGACAGAUGAGGUUACAUUAAAGAGGAUGGAGACACAGCUACUAAUUUACAACAGCUUCCUCUAUUUAGACUUUUGAGCCCUCUAUUCCUCAAAGGUCAGCACUGUCAACGCUUGCUACUUCUGUCUCAUAACUGUUUGUAACAUAUUCCUCUUUUGUAGAGCCAUUUAUAUUCAGACAGAUGAGGUUAAAUAAAAGUGGAUGGUGUCACACAGCUACUGCUACAACGGCUUCCACCAUUUAAGACUCUAGAGCCUUGUGUUCCUCAAAGUGCAUUUUCUGGGUUGAGGUGACCAAAUGUGACUGGAACGAGUUAAAAUCAUUAUAUGGUCUCCUCUUUAUCUUCCUCCCUUGUCCCUGAGCAGCGUCACAGGAACAUGCUGGAUUGUGUAACGCUGUCAUAUUUCUUCAACAGUACAUGUUUGUGGGGUCCAAGCCUGUCACAUUGUUGUUGCCUCUGGAUUAUGUGCAGUGCUGAAUCUUCUUGGCCCACAGUAAAGAUGACAUGAGAGGCUUUA